rnacentral:rRNA from 1 species
AGCGAACGCUGGCGGCAGGCCUAACACAUGCAAGUCGAACGAACUCUUCGGAGUUAGUGGCGGACGGGUGAGUAACACGUGGGAACGUGCCUUUAGGUUCGGAAUAACUCAGGGAAACUUGUGCUAAUACCGAAUGUGCCCUUCGGGGGAAAGAUUUAUCGCCUUUAGAGCGGCCCGCGUCUGAUUAGCUAGUUGGUGAGGUAACGGCUCACCAAGGCGACGAUCAGUAGCUGGUCUGAGAGGAUGACCAGCCACACUGGGACUGAGACACGGCCCAGACUCCUACGGGAGGCAGCAGUGGGGAAUCUUGCGCAAUGGGCGAAAGCCUGACGCAGCCAUGCCGCGUGAAUGAUGAAGGUCUUAGGAUUGUAAAAUUCUUUCACCGGGGACGAUAAUGACGGUACCCGGAGAAGAAGCCCCGGCUAACUUCGUGCCAGCAGCCGCAGUAA